rnacentral:rRNA from 1 species
GAUGAACGCUGGCGGCGUGCCUAAUACAUGCAAGUCGAGCGAACAGACGAGGAGCUUGCUCCUCUGACGUUAGCGGCGGACGGGUGAGUAACACGUGGAUAACCUACCUAUAAGACUGGGAUAACUUCGGGAAACCGGAGCUAAUACCGGAUAAUAUAUUGAACCGCAUGGUUCAAUAGUGAAAGACGGUUUUGCUGUCACUUAUAGAUGGAUCCGCGCCGCAUUAGCUAGUUGGUAAGGUAACGGCUUACCAAGGCAACGAUGCGUAGCCGACCUGAGAGGGUGAUCGGCCACACUGGAACUGAGACACGGUCCAGACUCCUGCGGGAGGCAGCAGUAGGGAAUCUUCCGCAAUGGGCGAAAGCCUGACGGAGCAACGCCGCGUGAGUGAUGAAGGUCUUCGGAUCGUAAAACUCUGUUAUUAGGGAAGAACAAAUGUGUAAGUAACUAUGCACGUCUUGACGGUACCUGAUCAGAAAGCCACGGCUAACUACGUG